rnacentral:rRNA from 1 species
AUUGAACGCUGGCGGCAUGCUUUACACAUGCAAGUCGAACGGUAACAGGCCUUCGUGUGCUGUCGAGUGGUGACCGGGUGGGUAAUGCAUCGGAACGUGCCCAGAGGUGGGGGAUAACGCAGCGCAAGCUGUGCUAAUACCUCAUGUGAUCUGAGGAUGAAAGCGGGGGACCAGGCAGCAAUGUUUGGCCUCUGGCCUCUGGAGCGGCCGAUGUCAGAUUAGGUAGUUGGUGGGGUAAAGGCCUACCAAGCCGACGAUCCGUAGCUGGUCUGAGAGGACGAUCGGCCACACUGGAACUGAGACACGGCCCAGACUCCUACGGGAGGCAGCAGUGGGGAAUUUUGGACAAUGGGCGCAAGCCUGACCCAGCAAUGCCGCGUGCGGGAAGAAGGCCUUCGGGUUGUAAACCGCUUUUGUACGGAACGAAAAGGCUCUGGCUAAUACCUGGGGCUGAUGACGGUACCGUAAGAAUAAGCACCGGCUAACUACGUG